AGUGAACGCUGGCGGUAGGCCUAACACAUGCAAGUCGAACGGCAGCACAGUAAGAGCUUGCUCUUACGGGUGGCGAGUGGCGGACGGGUGAGGAAUACAUCGGAAUCUACUUUUUCGUGGGGGAUAACGUAGGGAAACUUACGCUAAUACCGCAUACGACCUACGGGUGAAAGCAGGGGAUCUUCGGACCUUGCGCGAUUGAAUGAGCCGAUGUCGGAUUAGCUAGUUGGCGGGGUAAAGGCCCACCAAGGCGACGAUCCGUAGCUGGUCUGAGAGGAUGAGCAGCCAAGCUGGAACUGAGACACGGUCCAGACUCCUGCGGGAGGGAGCAGUGGGGAAUAUUGGACGAUGGGCGCAAGCCUGAUCCAGCCAUACCGCGUGGGUGAAGAAGGCCGUCGGGUCGUGAAGCCGUUUUGGUGGGAAAGAAAAGCAGAAGGUUAAUACCCCGAUGUUCUGACGGUACCCAAAGAAUAAGGACCGGCUAACUUCGUG
rnacentral:rRNA from 1 species